ensembl:lncRNA
CCCCCGGCUGGGCCCCACGGCCCCAAGCCCGCCCCGGAAGCCCCGCCCCGCCCGGGACACACCCCCGGACGGAGGAUCACGAUUGGCUGAUGAGGGAGGGGCGGGGCCGGGCUCCGGGGGGCGGCUCGGAGCGGGUCCACUCCUUGCUCCGCGGGCACGACAUUGAGGGGGAAACUGAGGCUGGAGAGGCAAAGGGACUCCCAAAGGUCACCUGGCUGGCGGGCAAAGCGCUGCGAGGGAACGCACCGGCGGGCUGAGGGUCCGCUCGGGGGCGGGCGCACGCGGAGGUCCCGCUUGGUGACCUGAGUGUGACGAGCCAGUCUGGACCUCGGAGCCUGCGCCCGCGAGUCUCGGAAUCACGCAGGUGGGUGGGUAGAGCUGGGGGACCUCGUCCACGGAGCCCCAGCGAGCAGAGCCAGGCGCAGGGUGGAGCGCGCGCCCUCGGUGGCCUCGGGGACCGAGGCUGAAGGGCAACGCGGACAGGCUGGGAGGCACCGGCCCCGACCCUCCGGCCCCGCCCCGCCCCGCCCGCCGCCGAGCCAGCCGCCCCUCUCCGGGGCGAGGGCUGACUCGGUGCCCAGCAGAGGUUGGGGCGCUGCCAGCACGGCAGGAGGUCGGGGCCAGACAGCCAAUUCGAGGACAAGGAUGGCUCUGCAGAGCCUCUUCGAGCCCCCCCCAAUCCCCCAGUGCCCCGUCCAGAGUCCAUUGCGGCAGGCCUGGAGGGUGCCAGCGCAAGGGGCGCCCCUCUUCAGGGAACGAAAUGUGUGCUAUGCCAGCCCCCCUCGCUGUCCUUAAGCUGCGCCUGCCACCAUGCUAUUUGUGGCAACGACAGAGCGUGCGCUAGGAGGACCUAGCCCAGGAAGGAAACUUCAAACACGCAUCCCAAUUACGCAGGGGAGCUGGAACCCAGGCCCUACUUGGCCCUUUCACAAGCUUCUCUUAAACUCACGCUUGCUAAAUAACCCUGUAACUGUGGCGAACUUUGCCCCACCCUCCAGACUCCCAUAUAACCUUCCCACUUGCCCACCAGCAAGCCCAACUUUUAUUGCUGGCAGUGACUUUCCUGCUAGCAGCCUCCAGAGUUUGCAGGAAUCCUCGGAUUGUGCUCAGACCACCUUGUGAUGUUCAUUUCCCUGUCCUGUGUCACCACCCGAGAUGCUGACCCAGAAUCAUCACUCCUGAAGACAGGCCGGGUGCUCCCUCACGUGACCCUCUGUCCCUGGGCCGUCUGCCCUCACAGAAGGCCUCUGCCAGCUCCCUGGGCACUUUGAACUUGAGCACGAAGCAGCUAGGUCUUUGCUUGCCUCCCUCAUCAGACUGGGAGGGACUUUGCCUUCCCCACAUUUGUGGCUGUACCUGGUCGGCUCACAGGAAGGUCGCACGCAGACCAGACCUGCUUCUGCCUGGGAUUAAGCAUCGGUCCUGAACCCAGGCCGACCAGGGCUGCAGCUGCAAACAUCCAGGCCGGUCACACGGAGGCCCUGAAGUGUGGGCACAGGAACUGGGCCUUCAUCCUAUGGAUGUGGGGAACCUGGAUAGCCACUGAGCAGGGCAGUGACUGGCGCAAACACCGGGGACUUUCUAUCCACUGUCCUUGUCAGCCCAGAGCCUGGAGGAAGGAGCAGGGGACAGCAUCCUGAGAUUUGAUCUCCACAGAUCGCAGAACACUGCUACCAACAUGGCCAAAGCUGAGGGUAGCCUCGCCCUAACCAAGGACACUGUUUGAGUGGAAAUGACAGUGCCCUGUGCGGCACACAGACCCUGUCUCUUCUGAGUAUUUCUGUGAUGAGCGCCUGGCGGCAAGUCCAAAUGACAAUUCAGUAACAGGUGCGCUGCUGGUGGGACGAUUUAACCAGUGACAUAGGGUGGGAUUGAAAUUCUGAGCUCUUUAGCGUCUCCCCCAAAAUUAUUAGAUUCAGAAAACUGCAAGCAAAACAAAACAGACGGAACAACUAUAGAAAAAAGCCAACUUGUUCAGCGCUCAGCAUCUGCUUGCGGAACCCAACCGGUGGACACAUGACCAUCGGCUGCUCACGUUGUGAGUCGCACUCAGCUUCCCUUGCUCCAUGCCCUGGAAAAGCACGCAGGAGCAACCUGAGCCUGGACUCCCCUCUGGCCCCUGAAGAGCCCAGCUGUCCUUCUCUGGGAAACCUCCCAGGGCUUGCAGGUCAGCUGAAAGUCACCCCGGGCCUCGCCAAGGCCUCUGUGUCCCCUCUGUCCCUGCACAGGGGGUCUGGCUUCCUUCUCUGCUCCUCUCUAGUCCCCCCAUAGAAUCACCUGAGGCUUGGGUCUGAAAUUCUGCACUGGAGAACCGACCCUUCCUGCUGCUCUGGGGAGAAAGUUAACCUCAGGAUGCUCUGGGAAAUGACCGAACCAAGGGGCCCAAAGGCUGGCUGCCCACGGGGCCUCAGUGCUUGCCAGGAUGUGACCCUCAGACUGAGAAUGUGAAGCCAGCCCUGGUCUCCCAGUCAGCCGCUCCUGUCCUCUUUGGGCUGGAGCCCAGGAGUCCAAGGGGAGGGGCUGCCUGGCAGGAUCCGAGGCCCAGUUGGAGCUGUCUGGCCUGGGGGCUCCCCGAGGACAGGGUGGGGCAUCCUCUUUGGUCUAGAAGGUAGGCUGCUCCUCCCCACCUGCUGUGUUCCAAGUUGGAGCUCAGAUCCUCACUGCAGGGUGACCUUGGCCCAUUGCCUCUCCUCCCUGAGCCUUCGUGUUUGCCCUUGGAGGGCCACAGUGAAAGUCCCACUUCCUGACUGACUUCCCAACCCUGCCUGCCCUGCCCUGUCCGGCCUCACCUGCUUACCCCACCACCCCAAGUUCUGUCCCUGGACACACCACAUCUGCUUGGCAGCCCGCAGGCCUGGGUACUGCUCUUUGGACUUUCCCCUCCAGAGCUCCACUUCCAUUCUACCACUUUGCAUUGCUUUUUUUCUGCAAGGUGUCUCCUCCUCACUUCUGUCUCUUUUUAAGUUUAUCUUGGGCACCUCCUCCACCAGGAAGGCCUCCCUGAUCUUCCCUCUGUGGAAUGUGCUUCCUGAUGACCCCAUGUAUUAUAUUUGUUUGCUGGUCGUCUCCCUCCCUAGGCUGGAAGCUGCUUGGGAAUCUCAUGAGAUUCUUCAUAACAGUAACAGCAGGAAUGAUGGGAUAAAAAAAAAAUCAUUGGGCCUUUAUAAUAACAACUGAAUCCAAAACAGGUCACCUGUGGAUGCUCAAAUGAGUGGGUAAAAGUUUGAGCAGCAAGAUAUUUAAAAAGCCUCAAAGUACCUCAAGAACAAAAUGAAACAAGGUAACUUUUCAGUAGAGUCUGACAGACCUGGUCUUUACCAAGUGAUCCUAAGAAUGGGACACAUCUCAGGUCCUCCUGAUAGGACCCCCGGGAAGACAUGACCCCCGCUGUGGUCAUUGGCCUGAACAGGGAGCUUUCAUCAUGAUGGACAUUCUACAAAUUCACCAGUCUGUGCUCCUCAAACUGUGCUGCCCUGAAAUGAACUCUUUCCAGAAACAGGAGCCAGGCCUGCUGGGAGGUCAGAGUGGAGAGGGGGACCAGGGCCCUGUGUCACAGAGUCGGCAGCUGCUGUCACCUGCACCACAGCCCUGGUGUGCAACAUGUCUCGGCUCUACUCUCUGAGUCCUGCAGGUCAGUGUGAGAACUAGUACUCCAGGGCUCCUUCCUCCCAAAGUACUAGGGAAGAGCCCGGCGCUUCGGUUUUCCAGCUCCUGGAGGCCUCCGAGUCCCUUGGCUGGCGACCCCGUCCUCCUGCACGGCAUCUCUGGGUCUCUGACUUCCCUCCUUUGACCUCACUCAGGCACUGUGACCCACUGGGCCCCCUGAGGCGAUCACGGAUCGCUGCCAUCUCAGACCCUUAAUUUGGUGGUUGUAGAGUCUUUUGGCCAUGGACAGUGACCUGUUUGGAGAACUGGGGACUUGGAUGUGAAUGUCUCAGAGGCCAUAUUCCGUACCAUUAGAGUUCAAAGCAUAGCCACCGAGGCAGGCGACUGUGCCGUUUGCUCCCUCUGGGGCAUUGGGCAUAUUGCUUCUCCAGCUGAGUUCCCCCACAUGUGAGGAAGGGAGAGUAAAAGUUGUCAGAGGGUCAGAGAGGUGGCAUCUGUGCUGUCUGCAGGGCGGGGCAGGCACAUGGGAGAUGCUGGGUGGAAGCUUGUGUUUGUGCAGCCAUUGGGGUUAGAACCAUGGGAAGAGGGAGUGGAAGGAGGGAAGGAGAAGGGGGAAUAGAAGGAGAGGAAUCAGGGUAAGAGGAGGUGAAGAAGAAAAAGGUGAAUGAAGAGGAGGAGGAGGAAUAAAAGGAAGAGGAGGAAGGAUUGUCCACAGAAACAGGAAGCCACUUCCAAUGGGUAAAGUUCUGGGGACCUCCGAGGGGCCGGGCUUUACUGGCCAUGGCCCAAGACAGGGUCACCCUUUCAGCAGCAGGACCAGGUGUUGAGGAGUCACCAGGCCACUUCCCUAACAUCCAGCCAGGCUGCUUUGCCUGGCUCCCGAGUGGUAAACUGGCAGCCCAGAGGAGAAGCCCAGUCCAUGCCCAGGGCCUGCAGGAGGGUCAUCUCCUAGGACCUUGGGUGGCUCCUGGUCCAACUGCCACUGUGGGGGGACACAGAGGCCACAGAUGCCUGGGCUGUGGGUGGUGGUGGUGAUGUGUCCAGAGUCUCCCUGCCACCCACCCAUGUGGCAUCUUCAUUUGGCUCCAUGGUGCUGAGCAGGGGCAGACCACUUGGACCAGAAGGCAGGACAGCUUCCAUCUGUUCCCGUCCUUGCUGAGUCCAAAGAAGAUCUCACCCACAGACAGAGACCAACCCCGGGAUCCAGGAGCAAGGGACAGAAGGGUAGGGAGCUGGCAGGAGGUGGCCAUGGCCCUGUGGCCAGCCAGGGCUCACUGGAUGGGUCCAGUCUAUAGUAAAGAGGGCUUCCGUCACUGUAUGCUGCCUGUGCGCUCACUGGACAGUCACUUUUGGGUUGAGAUGACAGGAUCGGAACCCCGGCUCCACCAUCCCAAGCCUGCAUUAGCACAGAGCAUAGCAGAUUCAUCUUCCAGCAAGGACAAGAACACUGGCCCCUGCAGGCUCUGUGGCCUUGAGCUCAUAUGCCUUCUUCUAUCCGUGCGUGGCUCCCCGAGGGGCCCCAGGACAUGCAAGUAGGGCCAAGCUCCAGGCGUCCCCAAGGCCAGCUCUCCUUUCUCCAUGGCAGAUGGGAAGACGAGGGCGGGGUGGGAGCACAACUCCUCCAGCCAAGUCCCUGCUGGAGAGUGGGACUGAGGGACACUCCUGGCCUGGGGUGCGUGUGUGUACGUGUAUGUGUGUGUGCUGAGUCUGCCGGUGGGGAUGGAUAUGUACAAACGUGUAUUUGUGUGGCACCUGUGUGCACACGCAUGUACGUGUGUGUGUGUGUGUGUGUGAGAGUGUGCAGCUCAUCUUGGACACACACAUGGGUCUGGGGCCCGAGGCGGCUGGCAGCUUCGACCUCUGCUGCCAGGUCCCCGAUUCUCCAAGCGAAUGCCCCUCGCCUGUCUUGGUUAAGGCCGUUCCAAAGCUGGCUGCGGUGUCUCAUGGGGCUCCGUCCUCCAGUCACCCACAGAAUUGUCCCUGCCCCAAUCCUGCUGCCCUGGGUCGGCUGACUGUACCCUCCUGGGCCUUGGUUUUAAGGCUCGGCUGUCCAUUUCCCCACCAUUUCGUUCACAGAGGAACAAAGAUGGAAUUGUGGUGACAUUUACCUUUUCCUUCCCUGAUUCCAGCCCUGUCACUAGGUCCACAGGCUGCCUGGGAGUUCAGAAGCAGCUUCUGGGAGCAGCCUGGGGCAGAUGGUGUGGGUGCUGUCCACAGUGCCCCGGGUGCCCAUCCUGUCCUGGGUCACCCAGGGUCGGCACCCUUGGCUUCUCCCUCUCUGCAGCCCUUGGCUCAGGCCUGAGCUGUCCCCACACCCUGUCCACCCUCCUGGGGUGCUUCCCAGGCCACUACCUGGCCCUGCCAACCUCACCCGAGCCAGCCAGCACCUCCUAGCUGUCUCUGAGCCUCCCACCGAGCUGAGCUGGGGUGUCCCACUGGACCCACAAGCUGCCCUGAAGCUCCCGCCCCAUGCCCAGUCAGAGGUGGGAUGGGCUGCAGUGCUGUGCACAGCUCCUGGCAGGGUCACCUGGAGACCCAGCCCUGUGUGCUGCCCACCUCUGUGAGGCGCCCCACUCAAGUUGUGUGCCCGACGCGUGGGCUCAUCCCACCACCCCCACGACCUGCUCAACACAGCAGUGGCCCCAGAGACUUAAGGGACUCACCUGCCCACACCCGGGACUCUUGAGGACCUGAGACCUGGGGACCCAGCCCCAGCUGAGGGUCCCCUCACCUCCCGGGGAGAGGCCUGCAGUCCCAAGGCCUCUUCUGGUUGCUCCCCAGGUGUGCGGGGUGCAGAAGGUGUUGUGGGACAAGGGAAUCUCGGGCUCCAGGUCUAGGGAGUAGAGGCCAGAGCUGGCAGCCAGCCUAGGGUCCUGGGAGGGACGUCCACCUCGUGGGCCACAGAGGCCACCAACACUGUAGGCAGCCAGGGGAGAGCUGAGCAGGGUGUGCAGGGUGGCUUGGGGUAUAGGAAGUGGGGUAAGGAUUGCCAGGAGUUGGGGUGCAGGGGGGCAAGUCCCAGAAGGAGAUACUGGUGCUUUCCAGAUGGGGGCACAGCCAGAGGACACCCUGGCAGGGCAGGGCACGGGACAGAUGGUACAGUGGGUGGAGCCCUGUCCUCAGGCUCACCCCUGUGUACCUUGGACCCAGUUCUGGGGUGAGGAAACUGAGGCACAGAGGCAAGAUGGGAACUCAGCUCCAGGCAGAGCUGCCUCUGUGGAGUAGGAGGAGCUGGGUGCAGGCAUGAGGCCAGGCUUGGCAGGGAUGGGUGGCUUGGGGGCAGCCAGACGGAGAGGCAGGGGUGGGAGCCCAGGGUCCUCGCUGGGGCACCAGGCUUGGUGCUAGGACCCUGCCUGGAAGGACCUGGAUGGAAGUCUGGUGUGGCGAGCCCAGAGGGCUCUGGCUCUGGCAGCAGGGGACAGAAGCCGCUCCUCCGUGUGCUCACCCAGCCCCAACACUCCCCAUAGCCCUCCUUGGCGCAUGUCCAUGGACCCCGGACUGCAGUGCCCAUCCUGUCUGUAGGGCAGAGGCUUGAGUCUGGGGCCUGGGUCACUGCUCCUGGCAGGCCAGGCACUCAGUGACCUCAGCUGGUCACAAAGCUGCCCACCCAGGUGCCUCCCUGGGGGAGAACACACAGAAGCCUUCGCCAGCCCUGCCCCCCGGGACAGCUGAGGUGACCUCGGGCUCCUGCUAGAAAUCCAAACUGCCCUGAACCCCAGCCCAGAGGCUGCCAUAGCCCGGGCACCCCUGCAACCCAGAGCAGGAGGAGGCUGCAGCCUGGUGUCUGCCCUCCAGGAUGCCUCGUCUGCACAGAGGCCCCGGUGUGGUACAGGAGCCCGCGCUGUGACCUUGGCCUUGGCUCGGACUUUGGACUCCUAGGGCCACAUCACCCAGAUACUGGGCAAGGAGGCUAGCUGUCCAGUGGCCCCAGGGAUGGCGGUGCUUGUGACACUGUGUUCACAUCUGCUCUGACCCUGAGUAGCCCCUGGUCACCAGGCAGAGGAGCCGGCUGUGCCAGGAGGCAGAGCUUGGGCAACAGCCACCCUGCUCUGCUGGGCCAGGGACGUGCACCCAGGACUGCUGUGUCACCUCCCACCCAGCCUCCAUGAGCGAGGCCUCAACCAGCUGUGGUCAAAUGUACGGCUGCUUCACACACUGCCCAGCCGGGCUGGGCACACAGAAAGCGCAACCACCAGGUGAACGUCGGCUGAACCACCUCUGUGGCAGGGUUGCUGGGACUCUUCCCAGGUGGCCCAAUGGCUGAGGGGCCCACGUGGAGGCCAUGCCAACCUUACCGUCUGGGGGCCUGCAGCCCCCAGCCUGUCCUGUCCACACCUGUCUGUCCCCAGCCACUCCCCCCUCUCUUCUGUUUCCAGGGUCCAUGCUGAGCACAGAGCUCGAGCCCCGCCUGGCCCCGGCCACCCUCCCUUGCCCUUUGCCCAUGCUGUUCCACUGCUGUAACGAUGCCCUUCCUGCCUUGCUGCUGGGGACCCCAGAUCUGAUCCUUGCCAUGAAGUGCCAGUCCCCUCAGUGCCCUCACUGCCAUGGCCAUGGAUGGGGGCAGCAGGCACCUCCAGAGGCAGUUCUGCCCUGCCCUGACACCCACUAAAUCCCUCUGUGGCUCCCGUGGCCCCAGGGACCCCCAGUGGUGCCCACCCACCUGUGGUCUCUGGAUCCUGUGCCUGCCAGGAGCUUCCCACCUGUGGGUCCCGUGCCUGCUUCCCUCACCCCUGCACCCUGCCUCACCUGGGAACAUGGGUCAGUGGUCCCGUUGCUGCCACCCACAGGAAUCCCUCCCUGACCUCUGGGGCAGGAGGUCAAAGUCAUCUGCACAGCCAGAUGCCGAUUCCCGCCAGCCAGACAGACAGACCUCCCUGCUGCCAGGGGGAAGGGCAGGGACACCUGAGGAUCACACGCAGGGCACAGUGGUCACCACAGCUCCCCAGUGUGCUUGCUAUUUUGUGUACGACCUUGGGGCUGCUUCUCCCUCAGGUCAAUGUGCACAGCUGUGAAACGGGGAGCUGCCCUCGCUGACAGUGACCUGUACUGGGGACCAGCACACUUGCAAUGACACCGCUGGGGCUGACUGUCACUCAGCUGCGGUGACCUUGGCUUGACUGCACCAGCCUGUCCCUGGCUGUGAAGGGACAGUGGAAGGAGCUGGGGCUGGACGCGCCAUCCAGCCAGGCCCACGGGAGCGGGAAGCUCCUGGCCCAGCCCCAUGGGCAGGUGGCCUCAAUGGGGGGGGGUCACAGGGAGGCAGGGAUGGCGCCAGGGGGCAUAGCCCACUCCCACCCUCCCUCCACCACUCCCCUUGGGACGCUCACACAGGCCCAGGACCCGUCACCACCUGGCAGCCCAGCUGUCCCCAGAGCUGGUGUGGGGCCAGGCCGAGGCAGGAGCAAGGGGCCUUCGUCCUGCCUUCCUCUGUCCCCUGCUCUGCACAGCGGGGACCACUGGACCCCGUCAUGCCUGGCGCAGAUCUCAGCAGGCAUGAGGGCACUUGUGUGGGGCCUAGGCCACCACAUAUCAGCCCAGCACCUCAGACCUCUUGUGUCUUGGUCCCCAUUCCUGUCCCCUCUCCACCCAGGGAAUCUUCUGUCACCAAACGCCACCUGCACCAGCACCAUUCUGAGCCCUGGCCUUGCCCUGUCCAAAGGGGCCCCCUCUGUCACCGAUUCCGGGAUAGGCCAAUCCUUGAGGGGGACACAGAGCUGGGGAGCAGAGAAGAGAAGGCAGCAGGCCACCUGGCCAGGGCCCGGUGAGCCCAGGGUCACUGAGAAGAGGGCUCAGCAGUCCCCUCAGCCAAGGUCACUCCCGUGUCAUCACAGCAUGUGUCCCACUGCUCGCUAUGGCCAAGGCCAGAGAGGGUGGUGUCUUAGGUGUUUUCUUGUCACUGAGAUACAAUAUGGACACUGAAACUUAAAGGAGAGGUUUAUUUUGGCUCACGUUGUAGUUCACAGUCGGCUGCCUCCAAGGCAAGGCAGCAGGGCAGAGGGCCCUGGCAAGGCAAGCUGCUUGGGGCAUGGUAGGCAGGAGGCAGAGCACCAAGGGAAGAGCAGGCAGGCAGGUGCACCCUUCCAGGCCACGCCCCUGCGUCGGCCUCCUUCGAUCAGACUUCGCCUCCCACAGCGACUGGGCUCUGCAUCCUACAGUCCGGUCAGCUUCCCGAAGCCCCGCCUGUCAGCACAGGAGGCUUCAGGGGACAUCUAGAUCUGAGGACUGAGGACACACAGCCCACUGACCUGCACACUGGUGUAUGAUCUGAGGCAGGGGCUGCUGGGGACAGGUGCGGAGAUCUGAAGUCAGAUCCCACCGGACAGGAAUGGGGGCUCAGCCUCCCACGCCAGGGCCUGAAUAUACAUUCCUGGGAUCCUCUGAGCCUUGAGCACAUGGGGUGAGGGCGGGUGGGCACCCUGCCCCUCCCCAGGCAAGCCAGUGGGGGCUGCCAGGGGACCUGCCAUGUGUUCAGCCUUCCAGCCGCGCCAUAGGGGCAGGGUGUUUCCAGGCAGUGGCGGGAAGCGUCAGACCAACAGCCCUCGGGAAGACCCUCUGCAGCCUGUGCUCAGCUCUUCCCAGCUCCAGCCUGGUCUUUCCCACCCAUGGUUCGGGUUGGCAAGGCUGGACCCACGCCUGUGCCCCCAGGGCGGCUGGUGACCCGGCAGUGCCCCUUCCUGGGCGCAAGGCUGGGGACACAGAAGGGGGGACUUGAGUUCCCUUGGGAAGUCGCCUGCUGGCCCAGCCCCUGCCAAGGGGUGGUGAAGCCCAGGUGAGGGCCAUGGCUGAUGGCAGAGGGUGGGGAUGGGAGGACAGAGACAACACAGCGAUGUGGCAGUGUCGCCUACUGUGGGAAGGGGCCCCUAGCAUGGCACAGUGCCCCUGCCCGGCCGUGCCCUGUUCGAGUCAGCCUGAGGUUUGGGGCAAGGGCUUCCCAACUUGCUCCAUCCCGGCUGAGCCUGAGGCCCCUUCCUGGGCCCCCAUGUCCCCAUCUGUCCCAUGAGUGCUGCCCUGCCCCAGCCAGGUCAGCGUGGGAACGGGGCUGGAAGUCCACAUGGUCAGGAGGGGUUCCUAGGGGAGGGGCCAUGAGGCAGUCAGGGCCUGGCAGGAUCAGGACAGACACACAGCUCCUGCUGUGCCCCCCACCCGGGAUGUGGCUCUCUUCUUCCACCCACAAACUCCUAUUCAUCCUUCAAAGCCUGGAUCCAGGCUCACACAUUUAUCUGUCUGACAGACGGUCACUGAGUGUCACCUCUGCUCAGAGGGUGCUGGGUAUGGAGACACAGAGGACAAGGACUUCAGCUGGGCUCCACAGCUUUGUUCACCCUGAGGUGUCACCACAGCAGCUGCUGUCUGUGGACCUGUGGGUCUCCCCGUCCAGACUGGACUCCUCAGAGACUGCCCAGGUGCGGCUGGCACGGCAGCUCUGAGAUGUAGCUGUGGGGGGCUGGGAAGGGGCUGCCCCAUGCCAGGCUCCAGCUCCCUGGCUGGGUCCCAAGGACACACUUGUGUUGGGCCCGGGUGGUCCUGACAGGUGUCUUCUGGGCUGCAGAGUCCUGGGCAGGGCUUGCUACCUUUCUGAGCUACAAUUUCCACAUCCUGAAGUAGAGAGAAAUAGCUGGGCACAGUGGUGGAGGCCUGCAAUCCUAGCACUCAGGAGGCUGAGACAGGAGGAUCUCAACUUCAAGCCUGGGCAAUGCAGUGACUUAGUGAGAUCCUGUCUCAAAAUGAAACAUAAAAAAGGGCUGGUAGAGGGCUAGCUCCGUGGUAUAGGGUUUGAUUCCCAGAACCAGAGGGGAAAGAGAAGAUGGGAAGAGAGAGAAUGUCCUGGCGGUGGGACCAGAUGCCGUGGCCGGGCGCCCUUGGGGUACAAGGGUGCUGGUAGCAGUCAGCAGUGGCCUGGGCAGAGGCUGCCAGAGGUGAGGGCCAGAUGCGGGAGCAGGGUAGGUGCACACUGUGGGGUGCCGUGGCCUCCUGCGGGGGGAGCCUGGCUAGGAGGCGGGGUCUACAGACUUGGGGGUUUGGGCUGAGUCUGGUUGAGGAACUGGGAGGGGAGGAUGCAGGCCCGCCAGGCUCCGGGUAGGGGACACCAUCCAGGAGCAGGGCCUGGCUGAGCGGCAACAGUGGCCGUGCCCUUGUCCCCCUCGGGACCACACCCAGGCCAGAGAGGUGGCCUUGCUCAGCACUCCCAGGCAAGGUGCCCCCAUGCCCCACACUGGGCACAGGUCAGCCAGGCCAGGGACUGGGGAACUGGGCACUGCCAGCUGUUAUGCCCGCCCACCUGGACCCCGCAUUGCACUCCGCCCUCUGCAUGAGCUGACGCUCUGGGGGUCCCGGGAUCUGAGGGACCUCCUCGGGGAAGGAUCGCAGCAGGCUCCAGCUGGGUGGUGACCGGGCUGUCACCACGCCUGUCCCCUGCACUGCUGUGUGACCUGACAUGCACUGACCUCUCUGGUCCUUAGCUUCCUUGUCUGGAGCACAGAGAUGGGACAAGUGACGGCAGCCUCUGUACUGGGGACAGGUGAGACUCGCAGGACCCCUGAGAGGCCGCCUCCCCGCCCCCCCAACUCCAACAGUGGUGGACAGCAGCGGUUCCCUCGGCCCUUCUCUGGCCAUCUUAUCUCCUGCUGGGUGUGACUCUGGGCCACACAGCCUCCCAUAGCCUGGCCUGAGCCAGCACCCUCCACUCUGCAGGGUGACCCUGCCGGGGACAGUCUCGUCCACAGGGGAUGACAGUCCUAUGCGUGUGUUCUGAAGUCUUCCCUGCUCCUCCCUCCAGUCAGCAGUGUCCCCGGGCUGCAGCCAGAGGAGAGGGGACCCCUGCUCUCCUGAACCAGCCCCCACCUCCUCACUCUUAAGGGGGGGUCCUCGGCCUGGGGUCAAGGCUGCACCCCUGUCACUGCCAACCUGCAGUGCCGCCCACCACAUUUCCCUGGGCUCCGAGCGCCAUCUGCUGGUCAAACCUGGAGCCACUGUGCCCCAGGCCACAGCAGGCGGUGUCUCAGACCCUCCUCAGGGUGCAUACAGAGAAACAGGCUCACAAGAGGGGUUAGGAGUCCCCCGGUCCCUUGUGGAGGCAGGGCCUAAACCAGGGAUGGAGGACAGGGCUCCGGAGGCCCAUCCUGUGCCUGUUGGCCUUGGGAGAUACAGGGACUCUGGGCCAGCUCCACCAGGAUGGGAAGUCCAUCCGGAGUGCUACACCCCAAGGGCUGAGUGUGCCCCCAGUGGUGGCCUGCUCUGCCACCCUGGCCAGGCUGUGCCCCAGGAGCCCUGCUGUCACAGAACCCCACUCAGGGUCUUGGUGUGAGAUACUGAAAUGGAGGGGAUAGGUCUGAGUGUCACACUCGGCCCAGCCCCAUGGCCCAGUCUGCAGCUUCCACUGACAGCAGGGAUGGGCAGGAGACCCAAGGCACCCAGAGUUCCCUACACUGUGCCCACCCCGGAGCUCCCUGGACCCCUUGGUGCGCCGCCCAGCCAGGCCCGUCCCUACACCCGCUUGGCACAUCCUUAGUCAGCCUGCCUCGGGAUGGGGCAGGAGGGGCUCUCUGACCUGCAGCCCAGAGGGUCAGGGGACAAGGUGCUAGGCUCCUUGGAUGGCACAGAGUAGUGAGCACAGGAGCAGGGACCCCACCACUGGCUCUGGCUUCUUGCAAGGUGGGCCAGGUGGCUGCCUGGAGGCAGUGGCUUUGACAAAGCCCUAGAGGGCAGCAUCAGUGAAGUGGCAGGAGGCUGGGUCUGAUAAUGAGGUGCCAGGCUGGGAACCGUGUAGGUCUGGCAAAGUUUGGGGCAUGAUACCCCCAGUACCGUCCGCACUGACCACUGUGCUCCAGAUCCUGAAGUCUGCCCCUCUCAGAGCUCCCUGCCCUCAUGGUGGCCAGGCUGGGCCAACACCCUGGGGAACAGAUAGCCCCUGAGGGACUUGAGCUGGGGUCUGGCAUGGGGAGGCUGUGAACAGUCAGGAGGGCUGAAGCGAGAGGACCCCCUCUGUAGGCUUUGUCAGAGCCUUUGGCAGGCUCUGGGGCAGGACUCCAGGACCAGACUCCAUGGGCGGCAUCUCUGGAUGCCUGUGUCCUGGGCCCCUCUGAGUUCCAGAGCAUCAGGGACAGCAGCCACCUCCCCAGCUGGGUCCCCAGGGGCUGCUUCCUGCUGCUGAGCAGCCCUUGGGCUCUCACCGAGCGCUGACUUUAAUUCACUGACUGCACAGCUACUGUGUGCCAGGGGAGGGUGGGUGCCAGGGCCCACGGCACUCAUGGCCACACUUGGUAGGGGCGGUGACGGGAGGACUCUGUUUGGAUGCAGACGAGGGCACCCUGGGAUUGAGAUGGUUAGGACAGGAGGAGACCCUUCCCUAGUCCUGAGGAGUGGGAUGCACACAGCCUCAGCUCCUGUCCACCCUGUCCCCUGGUGGGCUAACGGAGUGUGACCAGGGCCAGCAUCGUGCACAGCAGAGCCCGGCCUCUGGGAUCCUCUCACUGGCCCUGGGUCCCUUCCCUGUAGAGCGUGGCCACCUUCGUCCCUCCACAGGGGCUCAGGAAGCUGGCGUUGGGGUCUUCUUGGGCCCCUGACUGCUUCCUGCAGGAAGCCCUGGUCUCGUCUCCUGAGCUCACUCCUGGGACCUCUGGGAACUUUGAGCACUGGGGCCCCUCCUGUUCAGCCAGGAUGUGGGCCCUGGGUGAGCUGCUGGGCUCCGGGGUUCCCCGUCAGGUCCCACAAUGGAGGUGGGGGGCACCCCCCAGGAACCACUCCUGCCAGGACCUUGAAGGGCUCCCCAGGCCUUAGGCAGGCGAUGCAAAGGUCUAAAGGACAGGCAGGGCUCGGCUGGGCGACAGAGGCUCCGCUGGGCCCAGGAUGAGAGGGAAAGAGGAGAGGGUGAGGAGAGGCGGCCAGGGAAGCCUGGCUGCUGGGGUGCAGCUGUCCUGCUUCCAGGUUCGGGCCGUGCCUCUCCUCUGCCCACCACCCAAGGAAGUGGGCAGCCCCUGUUCUGCCUGUGGAGCCUCAGUCCCCACCCCAGGGCUCCCGCUCUGGACCAUGCCACACGCGGGAGCCCGCCACCCACUCUGGCUCCCCCCGACCUGCCAAGGGGCCCUGGGAAAGUCACUCGGGCUCCGUGUCCAUGCAGCGGGGACUGAGUGUCACCCAAGAGAGUGUCCUGGCUGCCCACGUGGACGCGCUGUGGCUAGGUCCCGCAGGGGCUUGGAAGCCCGGGGCUGAGGGCUGCUGUGGAUAGGUGUGGAGUUGGUCUUGUUCCCCAGGCAGCGAGCGAGCAGCACCCGCAGGCCCGCCUGCUCUGACCCCCCAGCAGGAGUCCUCCAGAAGGGCCUGGCAGGAGAGCCAGGGAGACCCAGGGAGACCCAGGUCCUGUCCCCUCCCAGCCUGUCACCUCCAUGGUCGCGAGGCUCAGCCACACCAGCCACUUCCUAGGCUUGUCCGUCCCCGUGUGGGUUGCCUGGAUGGGGCAGCUCCCUCUGGCUCCUCUCACAGGCUUGUGUGUGGCAGGACACAGGGUGUGUGUGCGCGCGAGCCAAGCCUGUUCCCUGGGUUUAGUCCUCUCUCUGAGCCGGCAAUCCUGUCCUGUUGCUGUGUUGGGCACAGAGCCCAGGGCAGGGGUCGGCGAGUGCAGGGCAGAUGGAGGACAGACACCCCUUGGUCACUCUGGCCGCCCCAGCCUUGUCCUGGGACCCAGGCUCCACCCCCCUUCCCCCGGACAGGGCGCUGACUGGGGUAGGCGGAGCGUGGUGAUCACAGCUCUCAGCCAGCACUUCCUCCUGCUGCCACGCGGUGGCGCUGCUGGAAAACGCGCCGACUGCGGGGGGGAGACAGGUGGUGGCGAGUCUGGGCUGCCCGGACGGUGGCUCCACAGGGCGAAGCAGGUCCGAGAAGGCCCGGAACGGAAGGAGCCCCUCACCCUCCGGGGGCGGUGCCCAGCAUGCCCUCCCCGGGGGCGGGCACCUGGCCUUCCCGAGCCCUUCCUCCAUGAACCCAGCAGGUUUGACUGGAGUAGCUCGAAGACAAAUCAGGCGUGAUGGCACACGCCUCUUAUCCAGCACUCGGAUGGCCAGGUUCAAGCCCAGCCUGGGCAACUUAGCCAGAACCUACCGCAAAAAAAGGGCUGGGGAUCUAGCUUAGUGCAAAGGCCCUAAGCUCAAUCUCCAGUUGUCCAGCCCCCUCACAAACAUCAGACACACAACAUAAGACGCGCGUCCACUAUAUAUCGUGUAAUAAAGUCUCAUUAUGUUCAUCACAUAACACCUAACAGCAUACCGUAAAUUAAUACUGUGCACUCAUUAUACCUACAGGUCAAUACCUAUUAUGUAUCAUUUGUGUCCAAUAUUUUUAAGUUCAUUUCUCCUUUAGAGUUUAUUUUCAUUAUUUAUUUGGAGGCAGGGUUUUGCUAUGUAGUCCACGCUCACUUUGAACUCAUGACAAUUCUCCUGCCUAGCCACCCCAGCGCUGGGAUUUCAGGUGUGGGUCAGCCACACCUGGCUUCUUUUGGAUGUUAAAGGGAGUGACAUGUGGGUCCCUCGCUGUCCCUUGGGCCCCAGCUGUGCCCACUGAUGAACAGGUGGGGCCUGCUGUGUGACUCUGAGCCCCUGUGCCUCUCCUCGGUGCUGGUCCUGGACGGCAGUCCUGUCCCUUGGAGCUCUACGGGCGGGGUCUGCUGGGCCGUCGUUCCGGCCUACACACAAGGGAGCCCGGCCCCGGCAGACUCCCAGGGAGCAGCAGUAGAGCUGUGCCGCUGCGGGCUCCGCCGAGGUCCUGGCCCCAUUCUCCUUCCUGGUAGGGCUGUUCCUGGCAGCUCUCAGGGCUCCACGCAGCCUCAGCUUCCAGGUCUGGGCUGGGCCAGGCCACUCCCUGCAUCGGGCAGCAGGUGGCGCCUGACAUCCCGUAAAUCUGACACCACCCUCUCAAACGGGCUUCUGAGCUCACACUGGAAGUCAGGGACCUGCCCUGUGCCCGAGGCCCUGGGACAUCCACAGGCGGCUGCUGGGUGAGGGACAACUCCUGCCCUCAUUCCCUCCUUUGGGGCAUCCUGACACCCACCAGCUGAGAGGUCCUGGAGGUCAGGGAGGGACACACAGGAGCUGGCAUCAUCUCCUCCAGAAAGCCACCAGGUGCAGGGCUAGGUUUGCCUCCUCAGGGGCCCGGCUUGGGGCUGCGCCUCCAUGGAACAGGGGGGAGACGGGAGGUGCCCUGGGGUGACAGGGGUGGGCCAGGGCAGCAUGGGCAGGGGGCUUAAGGCAGGCAGAGGCCGCUGUCUGGAGGCUGAGGCCUAGUACUGGUAAGGGGACAGAAAUGACCACCGACUGAGCAGCCUAGAGGAGGGAGGUGGCCUGUGCCUGUCCGUCACCCACACUGGCCCUGGAGGAAAUGACAAUGACCAGCCCCUGGCUCGGGGGCCGGGCUCCAGCCCCUGCUUCUCUCAUUCCUUGUCAGAACAGCGCUGUUCCCAGCACGUGGCUGCUGUGGUGGGCCCCCAGGGAUGUCACGGGGCUCCUCAGGGAAGGCAGUAGGUUGUAUAGUUAUCUUCCAAGGGGCGACAUCACUGCCCGGAAACCACACAACCUACUACCUCACCCCGCCGGUGCCCGCUCCCACCAGGAGGGCCUGCCCUGCGCCCUGCUUUCCAACCCUGCCCUGUGGGCCUUGGCCACUGGCACUGCAGGGCCAGGUGGGCGCAGGGCAGGAGGUGGAGACAAGGGUGGUCUCAGUGAGUGCCCCUCUCGCAUGCUAUCAGGCAAAGGCCCCUGGGCUGCCUUCCCUGCCCGGGAAGAGCCACUGCCCUCACCAGAGGCCUAGCACUAGUGGGGCAGGCUGGGCAGAUGCCAGGUAUCAGGACGGACACCCUUGGGGUGGGCGGGGCCAACCCGCAGAGCCUCCCAAGCCGGUUGCACCUCUCGCUGCUCUGUAGCCAUGACCCCCCAUGACCCCCACAAGUCCCAGUCAGGGCCCAGGGCUGUGUCCACCGCAGAUAUCACGGCCACUUCAGGAAAGACAGUAGAUUGUAUAGUUAUCCACAGCAGGGCGGAGCCCCAAACUAUACAACCUACUACCUCACCCCAAAGGGCUGUCAGUCUCUCGCCGGCAGGGACUCAUGGCUUCCGGGUGCCUCCUGGAGCAACAAGCGGGGUAAGGGCGAGCCAGGUGUGGAUCCUGGGCAUUGCUGGGGACAGAAGGCCACGAGACAUUGCCAACCCACGUGGGAGGGGAAGGAAAAGACUGGGUGCUUGGGAGGCCAGUCAUAGGCCUCCGGACCACUGCUAUCCAGACAGGGGUGGCCACCGUGUCCCCGAGAGACUCCACCCACCUGGGAGGCACCAAGAGGAGGCUGUCACCUCCCACUUGGCUGUCACAGGGUGUGGCACUGGGACUCUGGGUGGGCGGUGGGCUUUUCCCCCAUAGGGCUCUGGUCCUGCCCCUGCCACCCACAGUGGCCUGGGCAGGCCUUGUGGCAGGACAGGCACAGGACGCUGCUCCUUCUUUCUGGAGCUCGCCUGGCUGCCCAGGGAGGUGGCACUGCAGACCCUGCUGGACAUCAGGGCCUGGUGCCUGUCCUCCAGGGAACAGGGCUCAGGGUGCCUGGCACAGGGAGGUGUAGAGAAGGCGCUGCUGGGUGCCAGGGCAUGGAGUCCUCCCAGGUCCUCCCUGCCCCAGGGCUUGCAGAGCCCUUCAGAAGAGGGGCUGUGUGCUGUCUGGCUCGCUGUCCCCGGGUGCAGGGCAGCACCGUACCCUGGACAGCUUCAGGCGCAUGGCACCAUGCCCCGUCCCAGGUCCCUCAGUCAGUGGGGUGAGCACCAGGGCUCUCACUCAGUGCUGCUAACCCCCCUGCCCCAUGCAGGCCCCGUCCAGUAAUGGUGACAGCCACCCCACGGCUCUAUGAGGCCCCAGAAGGAAAUCUGAAGGGACUGGACCCUUGGUCAGCAGACAGGACUGGCUGUCCCCAAAACCUGUCCAAGCAGAGCCAGAGGUGGGGUCUGGGAGGAGAGUGACAUUGCGUCUCCUGACCCUCUGGCAAUGCAGAGUGAAGGGGGCAUCCUGGCACUGCCCAGCCACCCUGCUUCGAGACCAGCUGUUAUGGUCUGGUCACCCGGGAGGAUGCCAGCUCCUGGUCCUGGCUGUCUGGGAACGUCGUCUGCCCCUGUGUGGGCCCCUGGAAGCGGCCAGAGGAAGGCACUGGGGUGGCACCUAGACCUAGGUCCCUCCCUGCUCCUGGGAUCUGAACCAGCCUGCCAGGCCAGCUGUGGGGCAGGACUGCCUGCCAGGCAGUCCUGGCUGCCCUCACUGCGGGCUCUGGGCACCCACAUCUCCCACCUUGGUUGGCUGUGGUCUCCUCACCCACGGUGGGGGUCUGCACUGACACCCAAGAGCCUGACCCACCUACCCUGCCCACCAAGGCACUAGCCCAGAUAUGACUCAGUUUCCCUUGUGUGGGGUUCCCUCUCGCCCAUGCCAGACUCACCUGGGUGGGUCCUCAGCAAGCUGACUGGGGGGCUGAGAGUUGGAGGGGCGGGGAGAAGAGGCUGCCCAGGGACCCCACCCCCAAGGGCAGCCACGCUGGGGGAGCCUGUGGGACAGCAGGGGCCAUGGCUCUGAGCACAGCCCCCGUGAGGUGGCCCGGGGCUCUCUACUUUCCAGAGAAGGUUGAUGGGCUGGCUGGAUGGCUGCUGAGGACGGAAGCUCCACUCGGCCACCUUUCAGACCUGCUGGGUUUUCAGAAACAAAAACAACAAGCACCAAGCGUCAGCCUCCAAAGAGACAGAGGCCUGGGGAAGGCACACAGCACUGGGCUGCUGGGUCAUGCUGGGAUGCCGGACCACUCAGGGACCCCAAAAGCCAGUGCAGAUGGGACCAGCCCAUUUGGCUGUGAGGGUGCAGCAAGGCCCCGAGGUGGCACCCCUGCCUUGAGCACUGGCCCUGCUUGCGCCCCUAGACACCUGGCCGCCCAUCGCGGCUACCACCUGCCCUGUGUGCCGCUCCUUCCCACCUCGUCCUGCCAGCCUGGAGUGGCCGAGUGCCCCUCCCUCCCCACCUCCCGGCCUUUGCGCCCCCGUCCCAAAGCCAGGUGCUGCUGGCCCACUUCCCGCUCCAAGGCCCCCUGGCCCUAGGGUCCCUGCUCCGCCCCAGGGCUCCGGGCCCAGGCUGCCCUCCACAUCAGGAUGGUGCCAGGGCCCCAAUCCUGUGGCCUCAGGGUGGUGCCCACGCCACUCUCCCCACCUGGGGGCGCCACCUGGGAUCCGGAUGACUCCUUACACAAGGACCAAUCUUGGGGAGUGGGGGCAGCCGUUUCUGAACCAGUGGGGAAAAGAUCCCAAUGUCAGGUCUGGGGUGGGGGCUGAGAUGUUCCAGGUCCCCCCUGGCCUGCAGCCCAGCCCAUGACGUGACCUCCAGCUUGCUCCUGGGAACACCACAGAGACGUCCCCUCCCUGGGGAUGGCGGAGAAGGGCCCCAGGGAGGGCCAGGCAGCAGGGUGGAUAGUGCCUUAAUUUUUUUUGGUACCAGGGAUAGAACUUGGAACCUUGUGCUCUCGAGGCAGGCGGUGGAACCUCUGAGCUAAAUCCCUGGCCCGAGCCAAGUGAAUGGCGAGCCCUGAGUGGAGCCGCCAGGGAGCAAGUAGUCAGCAGACGCCCCGCCAUCUGCCACCUCCCGGGCCCUGCCCAACCCCACGAUGUCUGCCUGUGGGCAGGGUGCCGGGCAGCCAGGCUGGGGAGGAACGGGCCAUCCAGGACAGGUGCUCGGAGGCCUCAGCAGGCAGGUGGCCCUUUCAGGGCUGGGCGGAUGUCUGGAGUGAGCAAGGCAGACAGACAGUCUCACCCUGAAGUCACCUCGGGCUUGGCUCAGGGCCACCAGGAGCCAGAGCCCCCCCUCCCCCCCCGGCCCCCUGCCCGCCCUGAUUAGGUUUCUCCCAUAAAGCGGCCAGUGUUUCUGCUCAGCAAGCCGUGCCAACAAUGGCGUCUGGGAAGGAUGGAGGGCUGGCAUCCGGGGCUCCCUGCGCACAGCCCAUAAAGUUAACGAGACGCAAGCCCCGGUCAGGCUGAGGCUCAGAUGUGGCUGGCCAGGGGACCCCGAAGUGGGCCACGCCCAUGGGGCCAUUCCAGGCUGUGGCAGUUUAAGGGGCCCCACACUACGUCUUCGUGUAAGAUUAAGAAAAAUAACAUCCAAAGCAAAAAGGACCAUCCUGUAAUAAUAUCAAGCUUACACAGAGAUGGCUCAGGCUCGUUCUUGGGCCCAGGUGGAGUGUGGCUGGGGGGCACUGGCCAGGCCAGGAGCAGGCACCCAGAGGCCUUGAGGCCCCCAGAAGCGCAUCCUGGGGAUACAGGGGCAAAUGAGAGCCAGGAUCUGGCAUCACAGACCCUGGAUGGGACCCAUGGCCGGCCAGCCUUCCGGGGCUGCUGGGACCCAGGUCCCCUCCCCGGAGUUGCUGAGCCUGGCACAGGGCAGGGAAUGCCACUUGUGAGUCUGUCCCCACCAGGCUCUCUCUUUUCCUGUCUCUGGGGCCCCCAGGCGUGGGAGAGGGUGGGCCGGGCAUAAGCAGCGGCCACAAUAGCCCGAGCGAAUCUGACAGCUGUGAGCUGAGGAGAAGCCUGGAUGACAGGUUUUGGGGCACAGUUCCGACCCUUGCAAGCAACCAGCUGCUGGCAGGCUGGUGGCCCUCUGGGCCUCGGUGGUGUCCUCUGUAAACCGGUAAGGAUGCCAGCUCCAAGGGCUGUUCAUGGCAGCAAGGAAGUCAGGAAUCAUAUCCCGGGGUCAGGUCCCAGGAUUCACUCGGUGCCCAGAGGGGAAGGUGGAAUCGCAUAGCCUCUCUGUCCCCAACGCGCUUAACCACCAGGCAAUCACGGUAGCCUCCAAGGCUCAAUUUAUCUCCAACGAUUCUCAUCUCCAUCUCUCCAUCCUUGAGGCUGGGGCCUGGCCCUUCUUUGGGGGUGUUUCCUGCCUGUGGAAGCCUGGGCUCCUGUGUUUCCUCCCAGGAGGCUCCAGGCCUGGUGUGACAUGUGUGACAGUCCUGGCCUUGGCAGGUGGGCAGUGGGUGGCAUCCGACCAUCCCGUCCUUGGUGGGGUCUUUAGGAGGGACCAGGAGCAAAAAAGUCACCUCCAGGUGGCAGAAGGCUCUGUCUGGGAACCACAGCGGGCAUCUUUGAAGGGCCUGAGCCACUCAGCGGUCUGAGGCAGGGCCCUGAUGUACACCAGUGACCUCCUCCACAGCAAAGACCUGACCCAUGCCACAGCCACCGGCCACAUCUCGUCACUCCUGGAGAGACACCUUUACCAGAUGCUCCCACACCGUCCUUCACGUAGAUGCUCCCCCUGACCUCUGAGAGGCUUUAGUGUCUGCUUGGCGGGGAAGCCUCAGUGGUGGCAAGGGGCUGGGUGGGACUGGGUGAGGGGCCAGGUCUCCCGGGCUGCCUUGCCAAGUGGCUGUGCCAAGCCCAGGGCAGCCAUGGCCAAGACCAGGCAAGGCGGGGGCUGGUGCUGGGCUCCGUCCAGGCUGCCCAGGGCAAGCAGUGGGCAGGGGUCUCCCUCCUCCUUCCCCUAAGGCCACUGCCCACUUCAGUUACAAAAUGGCGGAGGGCUGCAGCAGCCAUUUUGUGGAGCUUGGGAAGACAAAGGCGGCCGAAGCCAGAGGGCGGGGAACAGUGGACAGCGGGCAGAGAGAAGGAGGAGGAGGGACAUCCGCUCCAGAAACUGGGCACUGCACUGUACUGAGGCCUGGGAUGGCCUGGCCAGGGAGCAGGGCAGGCAGGCCUUCUAGAACCUACCUCCUGCCCAAGAGCACUGAAGCUCUCCACCGUGGACUGCCCAGCCUGGAUUAAAAGUUCUUCACCUUGGCCUUAGGGAAGGUGGGCUCUCUUUCCCUAGGUUGGUGGCCUUCAGCCUGGUGGCCCAAGGGCUGGCCUAUACUCCAGGGACUGAUGCUGCCCACCGGCCCAAGGACAGCCAACAGGACUUGUCAUACCAGAGACUAGUGCAGCUGCUGGGUGACCAUCAAGGGGAUGCUAGGAGGACCUCUCUCCACCUUCUGGCUUCAGCCAUGGUGUGGCACUGGGAGCCUGCCUAUGUGUGUCAAGCCACUCUGUCCCGGCCACUUCCCAAAUAUGUGACCCCCACAGACCCGCAUCUCCUUCCCUGACCCUUGGUCAUGAGACUACAGCUCCCAACUAAGACUGCUGCUGUCACAUCCUGUCCAGAGCAGAGAGUGGGCACUCAGUGAACCCACAGAACCCAUAAAGGAUGACCCUAGGUGGCUGCAGGGAUGUCUUCCUCCCCUGCUCUGCCCUGGAUGUAGCAGAGACAGACAAGACAGCUCUAGGCCCCCUCCUGGCCCAUGCAGUGGAGGAAAAAUCCCACUCUGCAGACAGGUAAACUGAGCCCUGUGGGGUGGUAUGGCCAGCAGUUGAGCCCUGCAGGGCAGUUUCAGAGGGGCAGAUGAUCCUCACAGACCCAGAGACUCAGGACCAGCUGAUUCACAGCGGGGGACAGGGUCUGUGUCAGAAAACAAGAGGGUAGACUUGGGGAGAAGCCCAUGGUUUCCUUACAGUGUGGGGUUGCUAUGGCAACAUGGGCAGCAUUGAGGCAGGUGCCACCACCAGCCCGUCACUUGUGCAGCCACAGUUGCCCUGCCAACUCCCAGGAGUGGAGAGUAUGCUGUGGGCCUCCCCUAGGCUCUUCUCCUCAGUGGGGGGCAGGUCCACCUCACAGUCACGGGGUGUUGGGUUCAAAUCACGAUCCCAAUAUGGCUGCCAACAUGUGAGCCAGUGCCGGGGCACACAUGUCCCCCAGGGAAGGCCAGUAUGGAUGCUCAUCACUCCGGUGGCUUCUGCACAGUCACACAGUGGUGUGGGAGGGUCAGUCUUCCCCAGUGUCUGGGGUCAGGGAACAGAGACCCAGAAGCACUGAGCUGACGGAGGUCACACAGCUGCCAGGGGCCUGGAUGCUUCUGCCCAGGGUGACCCCAGGAAGCCCCACACCAAGGAGGCCCCAUCCCACCUCAGGGCCCUCUGGGUCUGGCAGGCACCUGUGUGGUGCGGGGACCCCGACACUGGCUUUUGUCCACAUUUUCCUGGGACAGAAAGACCAAGCACACAGUAUUUUUAAAGGCAAAUAGGGCAAACUGACUGUCUGGUAUUAGAGCAGACCUGUCCCUCCCAGCCUGCCCGGAGGCCCCUUGGUCAACUGCCCUCGAUCCUUCACCCACAGAUGAGAUCGGUAGCUCACCUGCCGUCUGGGGUCCCCCUGAGACCCUGCCCAGGCUGAGGGUGUGGUGGGGUUCCAGCCCCUGCCCUCAUUCUAGCCUUGACUUCCUGCCCACCCCCCCACCUCUGUCUCCCCAGCUCCUGACACAUGGGUGGCAGUGAUGGCUGGGGACCCCAGGGACAGGUGACUCCCCUCAGGCCAGCAUGGUGGCUGCGGCUCAGUGUGGGUUGUGUGCCUACCACAGGCACCAAGUUUGGAUAGGCGCUGCCAGCCAGGGAGCGAGUGACAACAGCCGGAAGUGGGUAGGGGACAGGGCCAGCAGGGCUGCCAUGGUGCCCCCCCCCAUCCUGGGUCCAUCUGAGCAGACUUCAAGGACAGCAAGUUCAAGUCAAUUAAAAACCAUGCCCCGCACACCUGUGAGCCCAGCUCCUUGGGAGGCUGAGGCAGGAUGAUUGCAAAUUCAAGGCCAUCCUGUGCUACUUAGCCAGAUCUUAUCUCAAAAUAAAAAUUUUUUAAAGGGCUGGGGCCAUGGCUUAGUGGUAGAGUGUUUGCCUAGCAUGCACGAGCCCCUGGGGUUCAAUCCUUAGUACUGGAAAACACAACCAAAGCAGCCGGUCACGUGUGUCACAGCCCUCUGGGACCCUGUCCUGGUCCAGGAACUAUGCCCUUGUGGCUCCCUGCAUGCGAGAGCUUGGUGGUCAGAGACCUGGGGUGCACUUGUGCCUGAGUCCACAUGAAGGGCCCACCUGGGUCAUGGUUUUACCUGCCAUUGUGCCCACAGGACACCGGGGACCAUGGGAGCAUGCCUGGGUCCGUGUGAGGCUGGGGGUCUAGGGCAGACCCUGCUGGGGAGGGUGCCCAGCACAGCCCAGGCCCCAGACCCCUCAGGACACUGGGCUGCUGCACUGAGUCCUAGGCGGCACCACAGAGAAGGCAAACUGGCCGGGCCACUGUCCCAGACCUGCUGAUGGCCAAGCUGGAAAGGGUUCUAGGCCUUUUCCCCGGCAGAGCCCUGGGCCGGCCCUGACUUCUCAGAAACCCUGGUCCCGCUGCUGCAGAGAGGCACCAGGGGUGGCGGUCGGCACCCAGCCCAGCCAGGAUGGGGCACAUGGGAGUCCCCAGGCCCACGGGACACAUGGACAUCACCCUCAGGGGCCUGGUUCAGGCAGUGGCCAGGACGGGCUGACAGCUCCCAUUUCCAGCUGUACCACGGGCACUGUACCGACCUGGGCUUCAGUGUCCCUGUCCCUGGGGAAGUGGCCAGCAGCCGGCAAGACCUGGAACGAAGAGAGUACAGUCAGGCUUGGGUGCGGCCUGGUGUGAGCGUGCCCCGCCCUCAUUCACCCGCUGACUCUGGCUACCUGGUCCUGAGAGCCCUGAGGCUUGGGCCCCAUGCCUGAGCCACCUGGAAACUCUUGCCCAGGUGGCUCAAGGGCCAGGAAGCCACCUUGUCUGAGGGACAUUGUGUCCAGACCCUGUGCCUCAGACAUGUUGGUUCCCUGGGCCAGGCCCUAAGGGGUGCUAGGUGGUAGCAGUGUUUUGACCCGGUGAUUGUAAGUGACAGGCUUUGCCUGGUGUGGCCUGUUCAGGGUUGGGCUUUCAGGACAUGAAAGGAGCUCCCCCUCUCCCUCCCUGUCUUCCCUGACUAGGGGUUGGGGACAUCUGGCACUCAGUAUGGGUCCAUCUUCUUUCACUAUCAUUGCUGGGGUCACUUCUCCCCUAAUGUCACUUACUACUGUGACACCUUUCCCUUUUUGCUUUGGCAGCCAGGAAGCUCAGAGCUGAGCUUACAGGUCUCCACCAGCAAUGGGGUCACUUCUUGGUGGCAUGCUUCUAGGCCUACCUUCAAUUUUCCCUUUGCUUAUUUUUAUCUUUCCAGGUGGCCUGUAUUCUCUCUGUGGCUCCCUCCCUGCCGUAUGACCAGGCUUUGCCUUAGCAUAGGUCUGCAGCCAGAUCUACCAUGACCCCCCCCUGGACCUCAGCAGUGAAGGUAGGGUGGGGGUAUCUAGGGGCUGGACCUGAUGCCAUGGCUCAGUCCUGCCGAGGUGUGGCUGUCUCCGUGUGUCCUUGGGGACCUGAGGCUGUGUCUGAGGAGUUGUAAGGACCGGAAAGCCCUGAGGGCUGGGCAACACCACUGCCAUACAGCAGCGGCUUUGGAGAGGUGACGUGGGCAGGUGAUAUGCACAGAGCCAGGGCUGUCAUGGUGGCUUCUCAGGCCCCACGGCCUGGGAGAGGUGACCUCUCCCCACCUGGCCCCUUCCUGUGUCCUUGCCGGCUGGGUCACCUCCAUGCCCAUCCUCCUCUGACACUGACCAGAAGCCACGUGGCCACAGCAGGCCUGGGCUCUGGGCCCCAAGACCCUCAGGGCCCCAUGGACAGAGAUGGCCUGCACUGCCCCAUACAUGGGCUCCACUGUGAUGGGCUAAGGAAGGGGAGUGCAGGACUCUGGGGCCACACGUCUGGGUGGCCUCCCAUCCCGAAGGCGUUUACUUCAAGGGAAGACUGUCCAGCUCCCUGUGAGGCCACAGGCACUCUGGGGUUCCCUGUCUACCCCAAAACUCCUGCCCGUCUUAUGAAUGGGUAAACUGAGACUCGGGCACCAUCAAAGCCUGUCCAGUUGGGCAGCUAGUACGGGGUGGGCUGGGCCAUCUCCGAGGGGCACGGUCCCUGGCCUGUGUGCAGGCCUGGGGGAUGCUGGCUGAGCCCCUCGGGGACUCUGGGCAGCACAGGGCCAUGAAGUCAGGCUGGGUCCCCGCUCCCUAAAAGACCCAGUGCGUGGCUCUCUCUGCCAGGCCACCACCCCAAGGCUCUUGGCACCUGGGGGGUGAGCCCUCCUUGCCCAGCCCUACCUGGGUGUGGGGUCCUAGUGCCCACCGGCGCAGGCUCUGCUCUGUGACAGCCACACUCUGCAAGACACAAGGAGACAGAAACGUCAGCACAGCAGGUGGCUCAGGACCCCAGAGGGGAACAAAUGGGGUCAGUGCCUCCCCCGUGCCUCCCAGUUCCAGGGCCACAACCCUCCUCUCGCAGGGGCCCAAGGCUCUGAACAUCCCCAGGGGGCAGAGCACCAGACCCGGGACCUUGCAGCUCAGCUCAUGGGGCUUGCAUUGCGGUGUCCCCAACCUGGGACCUCUGUGCUGGGGCAUCCCCUACCAGCCGUGGGUCCCCGGGCCCAGCUCAGUGCCUGGCACCCACGGGACGGGACGGGACGGGACGGGAAAGGUCCCUCACUCUCCUCACUCUCAGAAUGACAGCCAAUAGGUGGGUGUAAGGGGGCAGCGCGGUCCUUCCUAAGUGGUGACUUGCGUGGUCACCUAGUCUGUGAGGGGGGCCCUGAGGCCCAGGAGGUGGCUCUCACCAGGGCUGCUCCACCUCUGGGAGGACCCCAGCAUUUCUCCCCCAGCAGGCCCAGGGGUCCCGGCUGCCACAGACCCUGGGUCACAAGAAGGCCCGGCCAGCCAGGCGGUCCAGUCCUCAGCCUGGCCACCCCAGAAUCCGUCACCUGGUCCGGGGCCACUUCCUGUGGACAUUAGCCUGAGUCCCCCACCUCUGGGGGGCUCCUGAGGCUUCUGAGGUGGGAGGGGCCCACUGAGGGCUCCCAGGGGACCUGCUGGGGGAGCCGGUGACAGACUCACCCAACCCUCUUCUCAGCUCCGAAUGGGACCGGGGUGAGGUGGCGGAGGCACCUGGCCAUUCCCCACCACCACAGAUUUGCUCAGAGGACUGAGGGUGGCAGAAAAGGGGGAGCAGGAGAGGGGUGUGAAUGUGGGACCGUGGGCCAGAGCACGAGUCCUGCGCCACAGCAAAGGGACCAGGCCCCCCCUAGGCCCACUCUGGACCCUCGAGGUCACAGGAUGUCCAUCUGACGAGUCCUGAGCCCCACCGAUGUCUUGAGGAGCUGCUUCUCCUACUGGUGACACCGAGAAUGGCCCGAUGGCAAGUUCAAGCCCAGCCUGGGCACCUCAGUGACUUAGCAAGGCCCUGUCUCAAAAUAAAAAGCUUAAAAAGGGCUGGGGGCGUAGCUCAGCAUGAAGGCCCUGGGUUCGGUCCCCGUGUGGGGACAGGGAUGGGGGUUCUUGUGUGAGGGGAAAACCGAGUCCUGGGCCUGUUUCCAUCACAGACAUGGUUUCGGACUCCAGACUGGGGCUUUCUAGCUGUGCCAGGAGGAAAGGAGGCCGGAUUCUCCCUAAAGCAGCGUCACCGUGGUGGUCAUCGGCCACGCCGACAUGGUGGAGCUGGCCACAUGGAGCCUGGUCCCCCUGCUCCACUUCAAUGGCAAACAUGCCCAACAGUGCCACCCUGGCCCACAGCCCUGGGACCUCGACACAUGGGCCACAUGGAGCGUCUCUCUUCCGGGGAUGACGAAUAACAAUAAUCCGGCUCCGUUUCACCCUGGCCAGGUGCUCAGUUUCAUACAAACUCUCCCUCCAUUGCAAAAGAAGUACAUUUUAAGCCAGGUUCUGGAUUUUGGAGACACUGGGAUUUUUUCGUUUGUUCGUUUUCCUGGUACUGGAGAUUGAACUCAGGGCCUUCCCACUGAGCUAUAUCCCCGGCACACUUUUUGUUUUGAAAAGAGGUCUCAUUAGGUCACUAUGUUGCCCAGGCUGGAUGAAAACUUUUGAUCCUCCUGCCUCGGCCUCCCAGAGUGCUGGGAUUACAGGCCUGUACCACCACGCCUGGCUCUAUUGAGCGAAGUUCUGGACAGAGAAGCCGAGAACACAGAAGCAACCUCGGUCCUCCGCCCAGCCCUGCAGAUGGUGCAUCUAUCCAGAUGUGGGUCAUGGAUGUGUGGGUCCCACAUGUUGGGACCAUGGGUGCCAUGUGGAAGGGCCACAGGGUGCCCACUGGGUCACCUUAUCACAAACAUCCCAGCCUGGGUGAGUGUGGCUGUCCAGAGUAUCACACCCGUCAGCAGCAGUACACGGACUCCUCCAUCUCCACGUGUGACUGUCCUAGCCCCAGGGACCCUGCAAGUUGGGCCCUGGUCAAAGCCCAGGGAUGCCAUCAGGCCCUAACCUUCCACAGAUCCACCUAUGUCAGAGGUGGGUGGGGAAACCGAGGGAAUGGGCAGGGGCAAAGGCCCAGGGUGCACGCAGGACAGCAGCAGGUCUGGCACAGGCCCUUCGAGGGGCUGAACACCCGGACUCAGCUUCCUUCCCUGCAGGACGGGGCUGGCAGCAGGCCGGGGUUCUGUGAGGUCACCCCAGAUAGCAGAUGUCAGCCUGCCACAUAGAGCAGCUCUGUCCCUCCGCCACGCCUCCUGCCCAGUGCCCACUCAGGGCUCAGCCCCAGGAGACAAAGUGGGGCUUGGGUGCCGCUGUGCCCACCCUGUGGGUCCCCAGGGCACAGGGCACAGGCAGGAGGGGGUGGUAGAGACGCCGAGGAUCUGGGCUGCCUCCCAUAAAUCACCCUGCCACGCUUCCUAAUUAUCUGGGCACUUAAGCUCCUCUGUCUUGUCUUCCCCUUUCCCUGGGGAAAUUUCUUCAUUUCCUACAUUAUCCCAGCCUCCCGGACGUCUAAAUCAAGCCCGGGCCUGGCUGCAGCCCACCGUGCAGACUCCCUCGGCCUACUUUUACUGGGCUUGCGUGUGUGUGAACAUGUGUGUGCAUGUGUGUGUGCAGAGUGGUGGCUGCCAGGUGCAACCAACCCGACCCAAAUUUCAUCCCUGCCCAGGGCAGAAAACCAGAAAUGCUGCCACACCCUUCUUUCGAGGGGCUGUGACAACAUGCCCAGGACCCACGGGCCUCUUCCCUGGCCCAGGAUGACACAGCAGCCUCCAUCUUCACCCUGCUCUUCCACAAGCUGGGUGGCAGGGUCACUGUCCCCACCCAAGGACGAGGACACUGCAGCCAGAGGAGGAAACAGUCCUGCCCAAGUGGUCAGGCCAAUUUGCCCUGCUGCUGAUUGGGCUGCAGCCCAAGGAACCGCUCCUGUAUCCCCAGCACCCAGGACCUUUCUCCACAGGCCGGCAGGGGCCAAGAGGAUUGUGGGAGGAGCCAGAGCAGCCAUCAGGCCAGCAAAGCGUCCCUGAGGGCCGGUGCCAAUGCCCCUCUCCUGUGGAGCCACAGGAGGCAGGUGUUGGGCCACUGCCACUAGAGCUGGGCCGGCCCUGGCAGCUCUUCCAAGCUGACUCUGGUGCCUUCCCCGGGGCUGAGCCGGCUGCAAUUUUCAAAAGCUGGAGCUCAUUCUCUGCCCUCAUUUCUGACCUCUCGCCUCUCAGGCACUGUCCAAGCCUUGCUCACUGCAUUCAUGGCCAGGUCACCAGGUGCCCAGGGCGUAGCAGGCACAGCUGCCCGCAGAGCCAGGCCUUCCAUGCUGAGCGUCCCUGGGCUCCUGCUGGCACUUGGCCUCUCCAUCUCUGGUCAAGUUCCGUGAGUCCUACCCUUAAAAAAACCUUCUGUGAAGUCAAACAAACAAAUUCUCAGUCCUAGGACCAGAGGGCUGGCAGCGGGGCGGCUCUGGGCUCUCCUCUUGCUUCCUGUUUUGACACUGAAAGGAACUGAAGAAACCAUCCAACCCCUCUCAGUUACAGAUGGGUAAACUGAGGCAUAGAGAAAGGAAGCGGUGCUAGGAUGGGAGCCAGGGACCCUAACUUGGGCCCAGGGCUCAGCCUAGGAUCUGGGACCACGGCAGCUGCUGGCCAGAGCCUGCCAAAUCAGAGCAGCCCCACUGUGGGGAGGAUCCUGGGCACUGGGAUGAGGGAGGCCAGGGCCGGACCCCCAGGUUCCCUGGCACAGGCCGCCUUGGGCUCCAUAGAUGCAGACAGGGCCCCUUGGGAGGCCCUGGGCUCCAGGGGCAGGGCUCCAGGAAAGCAGGCGCUUUAAUGGAAACCAGUCAGUGGGCCAGCCGCCCCCCCCGUUUCCAUGGGGAUGGGUGGGAGGUGGAGCUCUGCCGUGGCUGCCAUGGCAGAUGUGGCCUGUUCAGGGUGGACUGGCGGGGGGCCUGGGAUGUGGCAGGCCUGGACCCCGCUGGGGUCAUCUGGGCCUCUGCUUGCCCCUCUUGGGAACCAGGAUUGCUGGUGACUCUUGGGGAGGCCGCUGUGCCCGUGGGAGUGGGGUACCGGCCGGUCCCUCUGCAUGGUCUGCUGGACUGGGGCUCUGGAUAAUGUAGCCAGGCCUCCUCUCCAGGCUAUGCCAGGCUGGUCACCCCACAGUCAGGGCCUGAAGGUGGAAAGUGCUCCGGGCUGCCUUGAUCCACAAGGACCCUGGGCUUGGGCCCUGGUGCCAGGUGUGGGCUGUGUGGACAUGGGAGGGAGCUCUCCCCAUGGGCUUACUUGCUCCUGUCCUAACUCAAAGGCACUGGACCCCCGGGGCCCUAUCCCGGCCCAGCCCCGGCAUCUGGGCCACAAGACUCAGAGGACAAGGGCGACCCCGUAGCUCAGCUGAUGCACCAGGCCACGAGGCCAGGCAGGCCACAAGCAGCAGGCUGUCUGGGCACCAGACAGCCCAAACCAGUGGGCUUCAGAGGACAGGUGACAGUGGCCCACCCAGGGGCAGUCCUUGAUGCCCCCAGAGCCAGCAUGAGGUGACACAGGCCCUGGGACAACUCCUCAUGCUUGGUGUCUGGGAUGAGCUGACCAAGGUCAGCGUCCGAGAGAGGCUGAAGAUAAAUGGUCCCACAGGAAAAAGAUCUGGGUUAGGGCACAGACUCUGCUAGCCCUUUACUGUGUGACGGGAGCAGUUUCUUGGCCUCUCUGAGCUGCAGUUACUUGUGUAGAAAACUCAACAUCUGCCCCCGCUAGACUGGACCAGGUUUGCCCUGUUUACUCCACAGAAUAGCCUCCAAUUCACAGUGAUCCUCCUGCCUCAGCCUCCUGCGUGCUGAUAUCAAAGCAUGCACAGGCCCUGCUGAUUUUCUUUUUUUUAAGGCUAUAAAAGACGUAGCCAGGCCUGACGCUAGUAGGUACUCAACAAGACCUCCCCCACUCGCCCUGAGGAGCUGAGCCCUCUUGGGGACAUCCGACACAUACUGGCACUCCUUCAGGGAGCCACAUGGCCAGGGCUUUCCCCACUGGGCCCCUCCAUGUUCCCCUGGGCCUGCCAGCGGGGCUCGGCCCUGCCCUGGCAGCUGGACACUGACCAUGGGGGCUAUGGCCACCCUACCAUGGCACCUGGCUGAGGCGGCAGUGUCCUGGUCAGUCCCUGGAGCGUCCACCUGCAGGCCGGUCCCUCAGCCAGAUGGCACAAGGGUCAGCUGAGCACGCCUCCAUCUCACGGAUCCCAGGAUGGAGGCCCGAGAUGCAAGUGGCCACUGCCCCAGAGGGGUUGGCACCAGUAAUCUCACUUCUGUGCCAGACAGGGCACCCAUGCUGUGCCACUGGGGCCUCCUUUGUGGCCACCCAAGGUCACAUGUGCCACGCCACGAGGGGACGGUGGGGCCCUUGUGGACCCCUCAUCCCCCCGAGUUGAGCAUGGCCACAUACCAGGGAGCCCUGGCAGGAUGGGAACAGGGAUCCCAGGUUCCUUCCACCCACACUGUGCCGGAAGCUGGGCACACCCACUGCAGGAAUCCUGGGCUGGGCCCGGCGCCUAGGAAACUGGGCCAGAGGUUCCUGCACAUGCUGGCGUGGCCAGCUGCCUCCAAGGUACCUCACCCCACUGCUCCUCCUGGGUGUGUCUAGGGCCCAGAGAGUCCCAGGACCCAGCACCCGGCACCCGCGGAAGAAGGUCCACUCACAACUGCGGCCCAUCCAGGUGCCCUCCCUGCAUGUGGCCAGAUGCAGGGUGACACUGUUACACUGAAUUCCACAGCGGAGAACAGCAAGGUAGAAGUGCCAGGCAACUCUCAGGGAGCCCAGGGCCCCACUUGUUCUUCCUGGAACACCACCUCAGCAGUCACUAUCUGGCCAGCACUUAGACUCCUGUGAUGCGGGCACGCAGAGGACUCGUGGCGGCAUCGAGGGUGUCCGGGUGCUCUGGAUGUGCACCGCUGUCACCCCAGCCCCUGCCCUUCCGUGUCUGCUGGGUACACACCGGUCCUCAGGCGACACGGGGCUUCCGGCCAACCCCCACCCCCAGCCCGCCUUCCUGGAUCCUGCUCCGGGCCAAGCUGGCGCCAUUUCCUGCGUGGCCAGCUGGGAGGCUCACUGCCACUGUCCCAGUGUGCAAAUGGCGGCAGGAGGCGACAGUGGUGGCCGGGCUGGGGCCUUCCAGGGACAUACAGAGCAGCUCCAAGUAGCCCGGCAGCUGGGUGGCUUGUUGGAGGUGGGGGUGGGGUGACCCAUGAUUGCCCCCUGGGCCGUGUCCAUGGCCACUUGGAAGAGACCUGUCUGCCUCUGUGGCAAAGGCCACCAGCCGGGGCUACGGCCACAAUGGUGAACAUACGCCGUGUGCACGUGCGGUACCUGCACACAACUCCGUGCACGUCUGGCUGGCCACCUGCACAGUCGGUGACACUCUGAUGAACACCACAGCAGAACACGUGCCAAACUCCAGGGCAGGCACGGCAGGGCCCAGAUCCCAUCUGCUGGUUGAACCUCUGGGAAGCUACACAGCGUCUGUCUCAGGGGUCACUGCCCCAACAUGUGGCAGGGAGGAGACAGACCUGCUCUUGCAGGCACUUUCUGAGACUUGAACAAGUACCAGCAGUAGAGGCCGUUCUCGAGGACAAGCUUUCCAGACAUUCAGGUGGAUGACACUCACUAUGCCCAUUUUACAGACAAGCAAACUGAGGCUCUGAGAGGUACAAGACUCACCACGAACCCAGGCCUCAGCUCUUGAUUCUAGAGCACUUGUUUUUCCAAACAUGAAGGGCAUCCUGCCACACAACAGCCCCAAGGGAGAAAGUAGAAGCCCGGUUCUUUACCACUGUCAAGGCCAUCACCGCCAGCAUGCUCACUCUGGUGCCAGGACCUUCUCAUUCUGCUCAUCUUUAGAGCACUGAGCCAGUGGCUUACUCCUCUGACUCUAUGACAGCAGGUGACAGACUACAGACGAGCUGGAAAGGACAAAGUGCUUAAAAAUCUGAGAGCACACUCUCGUAAUCCCAGAACUCAGGAGGCUGAGGCAGGAGGAUUGCUGGGAGUUUGAGGCCAGUCUGGGCUAUAUAGUGAGUUUAAAGCCAGCCUGAACUACAAAGCAAGAGCCUGCCUCAGAACAAAAAACAAAACAAACAAACAAAAAAACUGCUCUGCCCUGGAAUGUGUUGAUAUAGACCAAUAAAUUCUCUACUUUGUGAGAAUUUAUCUUGGUGAGAUAAUUUUUAAGUUUAUAGCAACUCUAUGUAGUUUACCUGCAGAACUUUUUUUAAAAGUUUGGAUGUAAACAGAUCUUUAGACCAUCCAAAAUAUCAUCUAAUUUUCCACAAAGAUCUCAAAAUAAUUCCACCCAAGUUAACACAGAACAGCUAGCGAGUGAACCUCUUCCCUACAGAGAUUAAGAUAUUAAAUUUAGAAGUCUCACACCCCACGACGAGUCUGAAUUUGAGUCUAGUACUACACUGUUCAGACAGAAAAACAAGAUACAAACUGGCCAUACUUAAAACAUUUAAUGUCCUUCAACACAGGGCAAGGAGAGCUUUAAAAAAUGAAGACCAAAAAUUAAAUGAAACUUUAACGAAGGUGAUGGUGGUCACUCUACCAAAUUUUCCAGCGGGUGAGAAGAUCAUUGAAUAAGUCUGUUUCUACACACGAAUGCAACUUGUUUAUUCUGACCUCAGUUCUUCGAAAUUGUCGACUCCACAAUGGAAAUACGCUGUGUGUUCCAACAAGUGCCAGGCAGGCGUGAUGACGGACCAGCCCAUCUGUGCCGCGAGAAUGUAUAAUUUCAGUCUAUAGUGGAAUUUAUAUAGAGGCAACCAUGUGGAGAGUGCUUUGCGUGGUACUUUCUCAAAAAAAAAAAAAAAAAAGAAAAAGAAAAAAGAAAAGAAAGGGGUGGGGUCCCCUGGGGUGCAGCUCAGUGGUAGAGCACUUGCCUAGCAUGCCCAGUCCCCCCCCCAAAAUACUGCCAAGAAGUCCUGGGUGCCUGGGAGCAUGCUGAGACGGUGGCUGUUAAGUUUUUAAGAAACAGAAUCCACUGCGUUGUACUGAGGAUUUUUCUUUUUUCUUUUUUUUUUUUUUUUUUGAGGGAGGUCAAUUGGUAACCAAGUCAAAAACUUCAGAUGAUGAAUACAAUCUCCACAAAGUACAGAAGGUACACACAUGAAACAGAAAGCCACAAGGUGAACUUCCAGAGUGGAGAAUACAAAUUCAGAAUAAAAAUCCUCAUUUACGGAAAUUAACUGUUUUUCUGCUACUUCCCCCUAUCUUGUCCAAAAAGAAGAUAAAUUAUUGCUCAGAGAAUUUCACCAUUUAUCAUUCCAUAGUUUAGGAUUCAACGUCUAUUUACCUACAUUAAUUAUGCCAAAAAAAGAGUGAAGAGUGGGCUGCUAAUUAAUACUGUAAAUUCUUUAAAAAUGCUGAGGCCCCUUUCCUUCCUUCCCAACUCUGUACCUCCUGGACUCUUUUGCCUCUAAAAUGUAUUGCACUGGAUUUUUUUCCUAUUACUUUUAUUUUGCCACCAGUGUUUUAUUCGAUGCUUGCUAAAUAUUUGGGUGGGAUGAAUGCUCCAGCUUGCGGCAGCAGAAUGUGGCUGUCAUAAUCAUGAAAAUGUUUUAAUUAUCUCCGCUAUAUAUGCCUGUCUCUGCAGCCCUGAACCCUCCGUAGCGACUGCUGCCUGAUCUAAGAACAAAAGCAGCCGUGCUACCCCUCAUGUGAGCAGAGCUUCAUGUUCGGAUUCGGAGGUGCCCACGCGCCUCCUCUGGACUCAUCAAACAAAGAUGUAUUUACGUGGGAAUUUUCCUCUUCGUGCCUUUUACAACUUUCUGGGUCUGAUCUUCUAUUUCCCAUAAAUCAAGACCCCAGCUCGCCUUGAAUGUGGGAAACCAGGCCGUG